rnacentral:rRNA from 1 species
GAACACGUGAAAUUCCGUCGGAAUCCGGGAGGACCAUCUCCCAAGGCUAAAUACUCCCUAGUGACCGAUAGUGAACCAGUACCGUGAGGGAAAGGUGAAAAGCACCCCGGAAGGGGAGUGAAACAGUUCCUGAAACCGUGUGCCUACAAGUAGUUAGAGCCCGUUAAUGGGUGAUAGCGUGCCUUUUGUAGAAUGAACCGGCGAGUUACGAUUUGUUGCAAGGUUAAGCGGAAAAAGCGGAGCCGUAGCGAAAGCGAGUCUGAAUAGGGCGCAUAAGUAACAGGUCGUAGACCCGAAACCAGGUGAUCUACCCAUGUCCAGGAUGAAGGUAAGGUAAUACUUACUGGAGGUCCGAACCCACGCACGUUGAAAAGUGCGGGGAUGAGGUGUGGGUAGCGGAGAAAUUCCAAUCGAACUUGGAGAUAGCUGGUUCUCUCCGAAAUAGCUUUAGGGCUAGCCUCGAGGUAAAGAGUCAUGGAGGUAGAGCACUGUUUGGACUAGGGGCCCUUCUCGGGUUACCGAAUUCAGAUAAACUCCGAAUGCCAUGUACUUAUACUCGGGAGUCAGACUGCGAGUGAUAAGAUCCGUAGUCGAAAGGGAAACAGCCCAGACCACCAGUUAAGGUCCCCAAAUAUAUGUUAAGUGGAAAAGGAUGUGGGGUUGCUUAGACAACCAGGAUGUUGGCUUAGAAGCAGCCACCAUUGAAAGAGUGCGUAAUAGCUCACUGGUCGAGUGACCCCGCGCCGAAAAUGUACCGGGGCUAAACAUAUUACCGAAACUGUGGAUGAACCUCUUUAGAGGUUCGUGGUAGGAGAGCGUUCUAAGGGCGGUGAAGUCAGACCGGAAGGACUGGUGGAGCGCUUAGAAGUGAGAAUGCCGGUAUGAGUAGCGAAAGAAGGGUGAGAAUCCCUUCCACCGAAUAUCUAAGGUUUCCUGAGGAAGGCUCGUCCGCUCAGGGUUAGUCGGGACCUAAGCCGAGGCCGAUAGGCGUAGGCGAUGGACAACAGGUAGAGAUUCCUGUACCAGUGCUAAUUGUUUAACCGAUGGGGUGACACAGAAGGAUAGGGAAUCGCACGAAUGGAAAUGUGCGUCCAAGCAGUGAGUGUGAGAAGUAGGCAAAUCCGCUUCUCGCGAAGCAUGAGCUGUGAUGGGGAAGGAAAUUAAGUACGGAAGUUCCUGAUUUCACGCUGUCAAGAAAAGCCUCUAGGAAGAGUAGUACUGCCCGUACCGCAAACCGACACAGGUAGAUGAGGAGAGAAUCCUAAGGUGAGCGAGAGAACUCUCGUUAAGGAACUCGGCAAAAUGACCCCGUAACUUCGGGAGAAGGGGUGCUCUAUUAGGGUGCAAGCCCGAGAGAGCCGCAGUGAAUAGGCCCAGGCGACUGUUUAGCAAAAACACAGGUCUCUGCAAAACCGUAAGGUGACGUAUAGGGGCUGACGCCUGCCCGGUGCUGGAAGGUUAAGAGGAGUGCUUAGCUUCGGCGAAGGUACGAAUUGAAGCCCCAGUAAACGGCGGCCGUAACUAUAACGGUCCUAAGGUAGCGAAAUUCCUUGUCGGGUAAGUUCCGACCCGCACGAAAGGCGCAACGAUCUGGGCACUGUCUCAACGAGAGACUCGGUGAAAUUAUAGUACCUGUGAAGAUGCAGGUUACCCGCGACAGGACGGAAAGACCCCGUGGAGCUUUACUGCAACCUGAUAUGGAAUGUUUGUACCGCUUGUACAGGAUAGGUAGGAGCCGAAGAGACGUGUGCGCUAGCAUACGAGGAGGCAAUGGUGGGAUACUACCCUGGCUGUAUGACCAUUCUAACCCGCCACGCUUAGCGCGUGGGGAGACAGUGUCAGGUGGGCAGUUUGACUGGGGCGGUCGCCUCCUAAAGAGUAACGGAGGCGCCCAAAGGUUCCCUCAGAAUGGAUGGAAAUCAUUCGCAGAGUGUAAAGGCACAAGGGAGCUUGACUGCGAGACUGACAAGUCGAGCAGGGACGAAAGUCGGGCUUAGUGAUCCGGUGGUUCCGCAUGGAAGGGCCAUCGCUCAACGGAUAAAAGCUACCCCGGGGAUAACAGGCUUAUCUCCCCCAAGAGUCCACAUCGACGGGGAGGUUUGGCACCUCGAUGUCGGCUCGUCGCAUCCUGGGGCUGUAGUCGGUCCCAAGGGUUGGGCUGUUCGCCCAUUAAAGCGGCACGCGAGCUGGGUUCAGAACGUCGUGAGACAGUUCGGUCCCUAUCCGUCGCGGGCGCAGGAAAUUUGAGAGGAGCUGUCCUUAGUACGAGAGGACCGGGAUGGACACACCGCUGGUGUACCAGUUGUUCCGCCAGGAGCAUCGCUGGGUAGCUAUGUGUGGCAGGGAUAAACGCUGAAAGCAUCUAAGCGUGAAGCCCCCCUCAAGAUGAGAUUUCCCAUUUCUUCGGAAAGUAAGAUCCCUGAAAGAUGAUCAGGUAGAUAGGUUUGGAGUGGAAGUGUAGCGAUACAUGGAGCGGACAAAUACUAAUCGAUCGAGGACUUAACCAAAA